rnacentral:rRNA from 1 species
UACGUAGGGUGCGAGCGUUGUCCGGAAUUAUUGGGCGUAAAGAGCUUGUAGGCGGUUUGUCGCGUCUGCUGUGAAAAUCCGUGGCUCAACCCCGGACUUGCAGUGGGUACGGGCAGGCUAGAGUGUGGUAGGGGAGACUGGAAUUCCUGGUGUAGCGGUGGAAUGCGCAGAUAUCAGGAGGAACACCGAUGGCGAAGGCAGGUCUCUGGGCCACUACUGACGCUGAGAAGCGAAAGCAUGGGGAGCGAACAGG